UCACAUGCAAGUCGAACGCGCAUGGUACAUGCGAGUGGCGGACGGGUGAGGAACACGUGGGUUAUCUACCGAGAGGUGAGGAAUACCGGCGAGAAAUCGCCGACAAUACCGCAUAGGUUUGGAAACAAACAAAGUCGCAAGACGCCUCUUGAUGAGCCUGCGCCCGAUUAGCUUCGUUGGUGGGGUAACGGCCUACCAAGGCAACAAUCGGUAGCUGGUCUGAGAGGACGAUCAGCCACACUGGGAUUGAGAACGGCCCAG
rnacentral:rRNA from 1 species